rnacentral:rRNA from 1 species
AAAUUUAAUAAUAAAAAUAUUUAUUAACUAAUUUUCUUAAAAAAUAUAAAUACAUACUGUAAAGAAAUUUUAUAACUAAAAUAAAGAAAUAUAAUUUUCCUUUAGUAUCAGGAGCUCUUUAAUCAUUUUAAUAUUUAAUUUUUCCUGAAAAAAGGUCAUCUAUAAAUUUAUUAUAUUAUUAUAGCAAAAAUACUAUUAAUAAAUUUAUUGAAAUUAUACUUUACCCGAACCUUUUGAUAUCCGGUUUCUUUUUAUUUUUAAAAAAUACUUAUUUUUAAAAAGAUAAUUUUUUAAAAUUAUUUAUUUAAAAUAACAUUUUUACAAGGAAUAAAAGUUUCCAAAAAGUUUCAUAACCAACUAUUCACUAUUUAUUUUAAUUUUUCUAAAAAGAUAUCUUUUUUUAAAAAAAAAAAUGAAAGCAUAAGUAGAAUUAAUUAAUUUUUAAUUUAUAAACUAGGCAAUAAAUUGAAUGACUGUUUACCAAAAACAUUUCUUACUGCUUUUAUUGUAAGUAACACCUGCUCAAUGAAUUUUAAAUAGCCGCGGAAAUUUAACCGUGCUAAGGUAGCAUAAUCAUUAGCCUCUUAAUUAGAGGCUUGUAUGAACGGUGAAACAUUUCAACUUCUUUAUUAAUUAAUUUUUUUUAAAUUUAAAUUAAGAAUAAAAAUGUUCUUAUAAAAAAAUUAGACAACAAGACCCUUUUGAACUUCACUUUUGUUUAACUGGGGCAGUUAAAAAAUAAAAAUCUUUUUUAAAUUCUUUUAAUAAAGGAACCAAUAUAAUUGAUUAUAUGAACAAGUUACCAUAGGGAUAACAGCGUAAUAUUUUUUUAAAGCUCUUAUUAAAAAAAAUGAUUACGACCUCGAUGUUGAAUUAGUGUAACUUUAUAGAUGCAGUAAUUUUAAAAGUAGGUCUGUUCGACCAUUAAAACACUACAUGAUUUGAGUUCAAAUCGGUGUAAACCAGAUUGGUUUCUAUCUUUUAUUUCUUUUAUUUAGUACGAAAGGACCAAUAAAUUUAUUAUUAAUA